rnacentral:rRNA from 1 species
AACGUAGGUGGCGAGCGUUAUCCGGAUUUACUGGGCGUAAAGCGUGUGCAGGCGGGGUAUCAAGUGGUGUAUGAAAUCGCUCGGCUUAACCGGGCGCGGUUAUGCCAGACUGAUACUCUGGAGUGCGGGAGAGGGGCGUGGAAUUCCGGGUGUAGUGGUGAAAUGCGUAGAGAUCCGGAGGAACCCCAGAGGCGAAGGCGGCGACCUGGGUAGACUACUGACGCUCAGACACGACAGCAUGGGGAGCGAACGGGAUUAGGAU